UACGGGGGGGGCAAGCGUUGUUCGGAAUUACUGGGCGUAAAGGGCUCGUAGGCGGCCAACUAAGUCAGACGUGAAAUCCCUCGGCUUAACCGGGGAACUGCGUCUGAUACUGGAUGGCUUGAGUUUGGGAGAGGGAUGCGGAAUUCCAGGUGUAGCGGUGAAAUGCGUAGAUAUCUGGAGGAACACCGGUGGCGAAGGCGGCAUCCUGGACCAACACUGACGCUGAGGAGCGAAGGUCAGGGGAGCAAACGGG
rnacentral:rRNA from 1 species